CGCUGGCGGCGCGUUUAAGCAUGCAAGUCGAGCGGCAAGGGCCUUCGGGCCCCUAGAGCGGCGACGGGUGAGUAACACGUGGACAAUCCUGCCCCCCGGCCCGGGAUAGCCCAGGGAAACCUGGAUUAAUACCGGAUGAGACGGGACCCGCGAUGGCGGGAUCCGGGAAAGGCGCUGCGGCGCCGCCGGGGGAUGAGUCUGCGUCCCAUUAGCUAGACGGCGGGGUAACGGCCCACCGUGGCGACGAUGGGUAGCCGGCCUGAGAGGGUGGACGGCCACAUUGGAACUGAGACACGGUCCAGACUCCUACGGGAGGCAGCAGCUAAGAAUCUUCCGCAAUGGGCGAAAGCCUGACGGAGCCGACGCCGCGUGAACGAAGAAGGCCGUGAGGUUGUAAAGUUCUUUUCGGGAGGGGGAACAACCGUGGCAGGGAAUGGCCGCGGGAUGACGUGAAUCCCGGAAUAAGCCCCGGCUAACUACGUGCCAGCCGCCGC
rnacentral:rRNA from 1 species